rnacentral:lncRNA from 1 species
CUUGAGCUGGAGUCACCCAGCCUGGCCAAGAACUGGAAAAGUCUCUUUGGGGAUUUGGACCCAUUUCUGAAAAGCUCAUGAAAACCACUUUGCCUUGGACUCCUGCCCCCAGCCGGAGCCCUCCAUAUCCAUUUAACCCAAAUCCCCAACUCCAGGGAUGACUACAGGUUGGGGGAGCCCCGAGAGCAAGGGAGAGAUGGGUCUUUCUAUGUUGCCCAGGCUGAUCUUGAACUCCUGGCCUCCAGCAGUCCUUCUGCCUCUGCCUCCCAAAGUGCUGGGAUUACAGGCAUGAGACUCCACAGCCGGCCGUCACUUAUGUUAUGCUUAGCAUCCCACAGCAUUUGUGAGGAAACUGAUGUCCAGAAAGAAGCAGGCAUCAGUGGAGACACUCCUAGCCCUGCUGCCCUCUCCUCACUGCACACACUUCCAGGUUCAGACAAACCGGAAAGGAAACCCACCAUGCAGGACUGUCCAUGUGAUGGCUCUUCCCGUGGCUCCAUUUCUAAGCGCCUCCGAGGACCUCAUCGUGGCCCAGGACCGCAAGCCAAGGCCACCCCAGUGUCCUUACCAUCCUGGGAAUGGGAGGAGUCAGGCCCAGCCUUGUCCUGUCUGCCCCCCUGGAAGCCUUCCCUGAGCACUGGCCUCUUAUUUACCCGUCUUUGUCUCUGGCUUGUUGGUAUCUGUCCCUUGUCUGAUUAGGGAACGCCUGAGGUCAGGAUCUUUGCCUCCCCAAUCAGAUUGUCAGGCAGGAGUGGGGGUAGUGCAGAUGCUGGGUCAUUUCUACAUGUGAGACCAAAUAGUGGUCCUGUUUAAGUUGAUCCCCUUGAAAGAAAAUUCUGGAAAAGCUCCUCAGAUGCACAGAUACACAGAAUCAGACCUUGGGCAAAGUGUGUAGUUGUGCUUUUGAAGCUGUGCAACCUUGGACAAACUACUUGACUUCUCUGUGCCUCAGUUUCCUUAUUUGUGAAAUGAGGGGUAGUCAUGAUACCUUCCCCAUGAGGUUGAUGGGAGGAUUGAGUUAAUAUUUAUAAAGCAUUUCAGACAGUGCCAGAGAUAUACCGUGUGUUAAAUAAGUAUUUCUUACACACACACACACACACACAGACACACACACACACACACACACACACACACACACUUCGGAGGUCUGCCAGGCCAGGGCUCAUAGCCUUGAAUCUACCCAUGGUAGAGAGUCAGACAACUUGCCUUGCAGACUGCCUGCUCUCCCAGCAGCCAUGCAGGGGAUCUUCUGCCUCUGCACUGCCGAUUAUCCCCUGCCCUCGUCAGAGCCUCUCCCCAAAAGUACCUCCAAGGCCACAAUUACCCAGGUCUCUGCUUCAGUGCUGAGUGUCUGUUCCUCUCCACCAUCACCUGCCACAGUGCACACGGACAGCUCCAUCAGGAGAAGCAGGGCGAGGCAAGGCAGCAUGGUGAGCCUGCACUGUCCUGGAAUCUCUGGGAGCCCCUCUCAGCUUGAAGAUGCCUCCUGCAGGCUUUGGUUUGCUCUUUGGCUCCUUGAGUGUAGAUAGGGGAAACUCCCCCUGUUUUCUGGUCCUUCCAGCUGUUCCUGAUUCCUUCCUUCAGCUUAACUGAUCCCCAGGCCAGUUUCUGUGACUCCCCUCCCUCCCUGGCUGGACAGGCCAAUGAUAUUAGGAGCUGCUCAGGAGGAGGGAUCAGACCUCUUCCACUGCUGCCCCCUAACAUUUGAUCCCAGGGCUUAACACUCUGAUGCAACACCUGCCUCACCUUUGGCUGUUUCCCUGGUGGCAGGUGCACAGUGGGGCAGUGUGUGGGACCUGGAGCUUGCAGCUUCCAGGCUGGAAAACCUGAAGGGACCUUCUCAUCUUAGAAAUAAGGGAGGGGGCCAUAUGCCUUCUCCCUACCUGGUGCUCUGCUCCCCUGUACAGAGAGGCCUCUCCCUGGAAAUUAGCAGUAUCCCCUUUCUGUCUCCUCUUCCUGUCUUUGAGCCCCCUCCUCUCCAGCAUUCUCCUCCAUCAAUAGUCCCUGUGUGUGCAAAAGAACACGUCUUCCUUUAAGAGAAAUAACACAUUGCUUAAAGAAAUGAGGCUCCUCACGAGUGGGAAUUGGGAUUUGCCAGAAAAAUGGCUGCAGGUUUCAAGCGUCAUUGGCUCUAAGUGAUCUUUCCCCUGUUGUCAAAGUGAUGUUUCUAAGUCCCUAAACUGACUUGUCUCUCCUGCUUACAACCUUUCAGUGUCUUCCCACUGCCCUUGAGUGAAUUCAAGCUCCCU